AGUCAUCCUUAUUUCUUGGACUUCAGGAGUUGUUGAAGAGACACUGAAGUAGUCAGCUGAGCACCCUGCCUGUGUGUGGCUGUCUCUUGUUGUCUUAGGUGCGUUUGAACACUGGCUCUUGGCCAGCCUUCAACCUCAAACCCUCACAUCUUCACCGCAGACCCCAGCGUCCUGUUUCCUCAAGUCUUCUUAGUGCUCUGUCUGCACUCCCUUUAUCAAUCGAUUCUUAUUUAUUUGCUUUUCAUUGGUCUGAAACUCCCCCCCAAACCCCCGGGUGAGGCCUGUGUCUUACUUAGCUUGGGUUUGUCCUAGGAAGAGGUUUCUCUUAAGAUGAGACUGUCUAUGUGUCAAUGUUAUUUUUCCAAGGAAACAUCCAAGUCUAGCCAGAGACUUCCUGGGUAGACCCUUGCCUUAAUACUGAAUUAUCUCACCCACCUGCUAUGGCUAAGACACAGCUUGGUGGAGUUAAACUUUUUUACAGUAAGCCUUGCCCUCCUAGAGUUUUACAGCAUAUUUGGGGCAAAAAGAAAUGCAAAAGAAAAAUGAACGACAUCACUAUGUUCUAAGUGCUAGCUAGUAAAACAGUCAAUACAUUCUAUAGAAGUGUGGACCUCGGUUGUAUUUCACAGCUUUCUGAUUUUCUUCCUAGCUCUGGACAUGGAGACAUCUCUGCUUGGAUUCCCCAGAUUAUGUGACAGAGCACAUGUCCUAGUGUGGCUGUCCACACGGUUUAAGUAUUUUUCCAGUGGCCCUACAGGUUGAACAUCCCUAAUCUGAAAAUCAGAAAUCCAAAUUCUUCCAAAACCCAAAAUGUUUUGAGCAUCCGCAUGGAGACACAAGUGGAAAAUUCCAUACGUGGCUUGGUGUGAGAAAGGCAGGCUCAAAACAAAGGCACCCUCAAAGCACUGGACAGCUGUACCUUCAGCAAUGUGCAUCAAGUGUGCAGGAAAUGUAAAUAAGUUGCGUGUGUAGAGCUGGGUUUCGUUCAUAUGAUAUUUCAUUAUAUAUCUGUGAAUGUUGCACAGUUGGGAAAAAUCCAAACUUGGUCCCAAACAUUUUGGAUAAGGCAUCGGCAACCUGUAAUUUGUCCUAUGAACACUGGGCUGCAAUCCACAUAGUCUCUUUCUCCUUAGGGGAUUGGGAAAUAGGAUGCUGGCUGGAUCUUGAGAGCUGGCUUGGUGAAGAAGCUACGUGUGACACAGAAGUACACGCAGCUGAGGUACACUUGAACUUAGGAAGUCUUCUACACACCCCAUCCAGUGUAACUGUGCAGUUUAGCCCCAGUGUCCUGCCUAGCCCCUGAAGUGCCAUGACUUUGCACAUCCCCACCUCUUCUCAGCAGAGACACUGAGAAUUCUGUGAGCCUUGGAUGCACAGGUCCAAGUUUUAGAAGCAUGUGUGUUGAAGUGCAAAGUAUUCUUUUUUAAAGUGAGAUUCGUACCUGGAGAAAGUUUUCCAAUGUGUGUGUGUGUGUGUGUGUGUGUGUGUGUGUGUGUGUGCGUGUGGUGUUUGUGGUCAGCUCCAGGGCAGGGAUAACACAAAGGAGACCUCAGAAGUUUCACAAGAGGGCUCUUAGUACUCUUUUUAAAAACCCAGUCACCCAGUGGUGGUGGCGCAUGCCUAUAAUCCUAGCAUUCGGGAAGCAGAGGCUGGUGGAUCUCUGAAUUGGAGGCUAGCCUGGUCUACAGAGCAAGUUUCAGGACAUCCAGGGCUACACUGAAAAAUCUUGUUUCAAAAAAAAAAAAGCAUUAAACAAAAACGCAAGUUAAGCUUUUUUAUUUUAAUAAAGAAUAAUAAUCCUCUUAUUUUUUUGUUUUAAAGCACUGAGGAGAAGGCAUUCUUGUGAGAAUCAGAGUUACCAAAACCAAAAGCAAACACAAGAAUUUUCCAGAGGCUCCAGGGACGCUGCCCCACUUCCUCUUGUGGUUCCUGCCAUUCACCUUAUCCUUCUGACACCAUAAAAGAUAGAGAGGGUGGUUGGCUCCAUGUGCAAAACUCUUGGCCACUAGGAAUCAUGUGUGGGAUGUAGAAGCACGGUUUGGGGUUACCGACAUCCCUGUUCUCUUGGACAGACUUCACCGUGUGACUUACUAGGCCUUCCCCGGUGUAUGAGAGAAGUGGGGCACCACCCCAUCAAUAGUAAACAAAGGGCAGGUGUGGAUGGUGACUGUAGGUGUGGUCCUUGACCCUGCUCAAAGGAAAAAUAUGUCUGUUUGUCUAUAGCAUUUUAAGUAAAUAAUACCAGAUUCCUAGACAUGGAAGCCUUCUUGUCUAUCCACCCUCUUGGCUCCUAUUGAUGGCAAGUUAUAACUGGGCUCCAUAGACCAAUGUAUUGUGUAGUCUAGAGGGGGAGAUGCCAGAAGAGAAACUUUGCUGGAUCAAGCCAAUGCGUCUUGUGCUCAUUUCUAGGCCUGUAAACAAACACAGCUGUUGAGUGAAGGGCCAUCUUUAGAAAUGGUGAAAAACAGCCAUUGGCCCUGCCAGGGAGCUCGCAGCAGGAGAGUGUUGUUCCAGAACUCUGGAGGCACAGGCGAGGCUCAGCAAGCUGUGUCCCUGUGUCUUCUCUGUCUUCAGAGCAGGCUGGGUGUGAGCAGGGCCAGUUCUGGGUGUCCAGCUGAGGCAGAUGGAGGAGUCAGAGUGGUACAUGUGGAAGGACUUUUGGGGAAAAAGAGUCUUAAAUUCCAUCUGCCUUCUUCAUUUUAAACCUUUUUUUUUUCCAUACACAAGACUGCAGCUGCCUUUUUCUGGAGUCGAUGAGAGAAUUUUCUCUUUCCUACCUGUUCUCUUUUUAAAAUAAUCCAUAAUCUUCAGUAGGAACAUGAGAAAAUCAUGAACCAGGCAGCCUGUGUGCUAUGCCAACUCCUGCUUAGAAUAAGUCUUGGGUCUCCUAUUUCCUUCCUUUCUCUGUUGGUAAAACACAGUAUAUUGUAUGCCAUAUACAAUGUUUAUGGUAUGAUCUUGAGAGCAUACAGGGACCGUGCUGACUGACUUUGUGCAUGGACAGCCUGUGACCUUGGCAGCUGAUGGCUGAGGGCUUCCAUUUGUCCCUUCACUUCUUUAAUAGACAUUUAUGAAAUACUUACUGAAUAUAGGCCAUUAGUUGACUCUGUGGUGUGUUUCUUUUUAGUAUUCCAAAGCUUGUGUCACAUUGGAGAAACCCUGUCUC
rnacentral:lncRNA from 1 species